rnacentral:rRNA from 1 species
UAGAGAGAGACAUGCGCGCAUAUCAAUAAGCGGAGGAAAAGAAACUAACUAGGAUUCCCUCAGUAACGGCGAGUGAAGCGGGAAGAGCUCAAAUUUGAAAUCUUCAAGGUUCUACCUUGACGAAUUGUAGUUUAAAGAAGUGUUUUCUGUUGGAGUUUUGGUAAAAGUUCUUUGGAAUAGGACAUCAUAGAGGGUGAGAAUCCCGUAUUUGACCAUUAUUUCAGCUUUGUGAUACACUUUCAAAGAGUCGGAUUGUUUGGGAAUGCAGUCCAAAAUGGGUGGUAAAUUUCAUCUAAAGCUAAAUAUUGGCGAGAGACCGAUAGCGAACAAGUACCGCUGAGGGAAAGAUGAAAAGAACUUUGAAAAGAGAGUUAAACAGUACGUGAAAUUGUCAAAAGGGAAGCGUUUGACACCAGUGUUGUUUUCUCGAAAAUCAAUUAAAAAAGGCAGGAUUUUGUGUUGUAUUGACUUUAUCAGCUUUCUGCACUCUUUUCUUGUCUUUUUUAAUGCACUUCUCGUUUAACAAGUCAACAUCAAUUUCUUUUGUUGUAAAAGGGUCAUUGGAAGGUGGCUUUCUUUUCGGAGAAAGUGUUUAUAGCCUUUGGCCUCUGCAAUCGGAGAGAUUGAGGUCUGCAGCGUAGAUCCUUCGGGGUUAGAUACAUUUGUGCUAAGUUAUAGCCUUUCAUAGACAACUUGUUGACUAUGAUCAGUCAUGUAGCUUACUCGCUUAUGCUAUUUUACCUACGCUUAGGAUGUUGAUGUGAUACUGCGAGCA